rnacentral:rRNA from 1 species
AUUGAACGCUGGCGGCAGGCCUAACACAUGCAAGUCGAGCGGAGCGGCGGACGGGUGCGUGAUGCCUAGGAAUCUGCCUGGUAGUGGGGGAUAACGUCCGGUAACGGGCGCUAAUACCGCAUCCUAUCAGAUGGGCCUAGGUCGGAGUAGCUUGUUGGUGGGGUAAAGGCCUACCAAGGCGACGAUCCGUAGCUGGUCCGAGAGGAUGAUCAGUCACACUGGAACUGAGACACGGUCCAGACUCCUACGGGAGGCAGCAGUGGGGAAUAUUGGACAAUGGGCGAAAGCCUGAUCCAGCCAUGCCGCGUGUGUGAAGAAGGUCUUCGGAUUGUAAAGCACUUUAAGUUGGGAGGCGUUACCAGCAGAAUAAGCACCGGCUAACUUCGUGCCAGCAGCCGCGGUAAUUC